rnacentral:rRNA from 1 species
AAUAGAUACCCUGGUAGUCCACGCCGUAAACGAUGAGUGCUAAGUGUUAGAGGGUUUCCGCCCUUUAGUGCUGCAGCUAACGCAUUAAGCACUCCGCCUGGGGAGUACGGUCGCAAGACUGAAACUCAAAGGAAUUGACGGGGGCCCGCACAAGCGGUGGAGCAUGUGGUUUAAUUCGAAGCAACGCGAAGAACCUUACCAGGUCUUGACAUCCCACUGGCCGGUAUAGAGAUAUACCUUUCCCUUCGGGGACAGUGGUGACAGGUGGUGCAUGGUUGUCGUCAGCUCGUGUCGUGAGAUGUUGGGUUAAGUCCCGCAACGAGCGCAACCCUUGAUCUUAGUUGCCAGCAUUUAGUUGGGCACUCUAAGGUGACUGCCGGUGACAAACCGGAGGAAGGUGGGGAUGACGUCAAAUCAUCAUGCCCCUUAUGACCUGGGCUACACACGUGCUACAAUGGAUGGUACAAAGGGCUGCAAGACUGCGAAGUCAAGCCAAUCCCAUAAAACCAUUCUCAGUUCGGAUUGCAGG